UUAGACGGUCCCUGUGCUCUCGUCCUGUGCGCAAAGGCCAGCGUGGUUUGUCCAGCUCGGAGGCGGCUCGUUUUGGGGAAAAUUAGGCUAUGUAGCUCGUCGUCUACCCUUACUACGGGCCAACUUACUGCCUCUGCCUCCUGUGCAUCGAUGGCACUCGUCUGUGUGUCAGCAGGCACGGGGAUCUGCAGGGCCUUGAACUGCAUUCAAAAAGAGGGACAUCUAUAAGUUACCAUCGUAACACCUGGGGAAAAUGAACACAAUCCUGCUUAAAAGGUCCAUCACUGAGUCAUCCAGCAACCAAUGAAUAAGAGGAAUCUAGCUCACAAGGCUAGACUAUAGCUCCCAUUUAAACAAGAGAAGAAGAAAGCCACUUCAUUUUGUCAUGGUAAGUUAUAAGGAUAAGGACAACUCUGACUUCAAACCCGGGUAGAUGAAGCUCGUCAGCCUUUUUGGGCAGUUCAUCUAGGAGAAGGAAAACUGAUUUAAAACCUCCGCUGCCUUGCGGGUAUACUCGUCUACGUGAAAGGCUUCGGGCAAGAAACCCCCAGAAAAAUCUGCCUCCGUCUCCAUUGCCAGUCGUCUCAUUUAGUCUUGCCACUGGUAAUAGGUGGUCUCGGACGAGAGAGUGGGGUUGAUGAUGUGCAAACUCUUCCUCACUUGAAUCCUCGCACAAGUCAUCAGUCAUCUCUCACAGGAUGACUAGAUGGGCCUCGUCGCUGCAACGGAUGAAUUAACAACGAGGUUACAAUGGAAUUUGUCUUCUGUGUUGAACCCAUCCUAUUGUAUAGGAGCAGGAUAGAAGCUUGCCACAACACAACACAGGCCCGACACAGAAGGAUUGCCUCAUCCCAUCGCUCUCACUUCUCUCACUGAUUGUUGGAUGAACAUCCAUUAAUUUUUGUCAAUUUUUCCACAAUUAUUAAAUGGUUGGUUAUGGACUAA